rnacentral:rRNA from 1 species
UUGACCUCAAAUCAGGUAGGACUACCCGCUGAACUUAAGCAUAUCAAUAAGCGGAGGAAAAGAAACUAACAAGGAUUCCCCUAGUAACUGCGAGUGAAGAGGGAAAAGCUCAAAUUUUGAAUCUGGCGGUCUUUGCGGCCGUCCGAGUUGUAAUCUAGAGAAGCGUCUUCCGCGCUGGACCGUGUAUAAGUUUCCUGGAAUGGAACGUCGUAGAGGGUGAGAAUCCCGUCUUUGACACGGACUGCCAGGGCUAUGUGAUGCGCUCUCGACGAGUCGAGUUGUUUGGGAAUGCAGCUCAAAUAGGGUGGUAAAUUCCAUCUAAAGCUAAAUAUAGGCGAGAGACCGAUAGCGAACAAGUACCGUGAGGGAAAGAUGAAAAGAACUUUGGAAAGAGAGUUAAACAGUACGUGAAAUUGCUGAAAGGGAAACGCUUGAUGUCAGUCGCGUCCGCCGGGGAUCAGCCUCGCAUUUUGCUUGGCGUACUUCCUGGUGGACGGGUCAGCAUCAGUUUUGACCGUCGGAAAAUGACUCGAGGAAUGUGGCACUCUUUCGGGAGUGUGUUAUAGACUCGGGUCGAAUACGAUGGUCGGGACUGAGGAACUCAGCA